rnacentral:misc_RNA from 1 species
UCUCGGCUUAUCACCGGCAGUCCCCCUAGAGUGCCCAACUGAAUGAUGGCAACUAAGGGCGAGGGUUGCGCUCGUUGCGGGACUUAACCCAACAUCUCACGACACGAGCUGACGACAGCCAUGCAGCACCUGUGUUCCCGCCAGCCGAACUGAAGGAUCCCAUCUCUGGAACCCAUACGGGACAUGUCAAGGGCUGGUAAGGUUCUGCGCGUUGCUUCGAAUUGAACCACAUGCUCCACCGCUUGUGCGGGCCCCCGUCAAUUCCUUUGAGUUUCAGCCUUGCGGCCGUACUCCCCAGGCGGGGCAUUUAAUGCGUUAGCGUCGGCACGGGAGGAGUCGACACCAAGUAUGCAUCGUUUAGGGUGUGGACUAC